GCUGAUUUGGAGCAGCAUCACUAACUCCUAUUAAUCAAGAGUUUAAUCUCAUAAUCAAAAGAAGGAGAAAUAUUUGAAGGUGUACCAAUUAAUCAAACAUCAGCAUGUCAACCCAAUGAGCUCCCCUUCUUUAUUAAUAAGUUGAUAUCAUAAGUGAUGAUGAUGAUAGGUACCAAUUUUCAAUUAAUUUCUACCUAUUGCAGUUCAUUUUUUGUGCUUUAAAUUUGGCUAAAGAUUCUUUGCUAGCGGUGUACUCAAGGCUUUUCAUCAGAGCCAUGGUUUUGGGAAUAUGCAAUUGCUUCGGUGCUAUCCUUUUCGAGAGUUUUUGAUGACUUAUGUCAACUGAGAGUCAUAAUUUCCUUCAAGUUAUCUUACGACCUGGUUGUCUUUGUUAGUGAUGUUGAAAGUGACGACGAUGAGGAUGACACUGAAGCUCUUAGGCUGAACUCGACCAGAUAAAAAAAGAAAGAGUGGAGGAGAGGCUCAAGAAGGCUUCACUUAGUGUGCAUCGUCCCAAUACGUUCAAAAACUUAUUGAGUGAAGACUCGGUUUAUGAGCUUAAUACUUUUGAUGUAACAUAAAGCCCAACUUCCCCUUUACCGAGAGUCCUCAUGUGCUAUUCGUUUCAUUGACCAAACUGUUUUCGUGGAGCUUGUGGAGCUUGCUGAAACGUUUGAACGGAUCCCGAGGGAGAGCUUCAGGUUUCGGGAUUACAAACAACUUAUGGUAUUAUCCAACACGACUACUGAUUUACCAUGUUUGAAUUCAUUUCCCUCUUUUAAAACUUUUGCAUAUAUUUAUUUCACAUAUCACACUUGAUAGCUUAGCACAUAUAUUCAUUUUGUAGAUGUUGUUGGGCAAGUAAGGGGAUUAGAACUACUUACAAUGAAGAGACAUAAAGUACACAACGCAUGAUGAUCACCAUAAGCAUUGAAAGUCACUCAAAUGUUUGCCUAAGUGUUUUUGCCGAUCUAGAUAGGCUCCUUGAUGCAAAUUUGCUUUGGAGUUGUGAUGAACCAAAGGUGGUGGUUGCCACAAACAUCAAUCCCAAGUUGCUGAGAGAACAAAACUGAUUCCGUAAGUCAGAGGUGGGCGUUUGAUUUUUGAAAUUUUGUUGUUGAGUAAGUCAGCCGUGAUUUCUCACAGAGUAUAUUUUUCUGUAUUUAUAAAAUUUUAAAACUCCCAUCUCAGUUAACCAUACAUAGUAUGUGUAGAGAUGAUGACAGCUCCGCAUUAUUAAGAUCUCUCAGAUAAUGGAAGUGUGCUUGAGAUUAGUUCCACGAUCCAUUUGUUUAAGCUGCAAACACAUAUCGAGAGUGUUAGAAACAGGGGAACCAUAUAAUUUAUUGUGUAAGUUAGAAAGCAAUAUGAGUCGUACAUUUAGGAGUAAAAAUUCACUAUAUUAAAUCUCGCCUAGGCUUCGCAAAGGUUCUUCAAAAUCUCUUUGUAAACUAUAUUAUCCUCUUUCGUUGGAACGUCAGCCUCCUCUAGCAUCUUCAGAAAGAAAUGUAAUGCGUACGCUGCUCCAAGUGCUGUUGUCUCUAUGUCCACUGGCCUCACCACCGGAGUUCCCAUCAAAUCAGCCCCAUGUUUCAAAAGGACAAAUGAGAGUAAUGUUACAAAAUAAACAACACAUCAUCAAGAUUCAUACGUGAGAAGAAGAGGAUAAGUCAUUACCUGAAUAUGCAUAAGAAGGUUGUUGGCAGUGGCGCCACCAUCAACUCUAAGCAAGAACUCCCCUUUCUCGUUAUUUAGGGAGUCUAGCACAUCUUUCACUUGGAAACACAUGCUCUCCAGCACAGCCCUUGCAAUGUGAGACUUGUUUGUGAAUCUCGUGAUUCCAAUGCAGACACCACGAGCGUCUUCUCUCCACCAAGGCGCAAACAAACCGUUGAAUGCUGGCACAAAGUACACUCCUCCGGUUGUUUCUACCAUAGCCGCCAAAUCUUCAAUUUCACUGGCACUCUUAAUAAUC